rnacentral:rRNA from 1 species
UGGGGAAUCUUGCGCAAUGGGCGAAAGCCUGACGCAGCCAUGCCGCGUGAAUGAUGAAGGUCUUAGGAUUGUAAAUUCUUUCACCGGGACGAUAAUGACGGUACCCGGAGAAGAAGCCCCGGCUAACUUCGUGCCAGCAGCCGCGGUAAUACGAAGGGGGCUAGCGUUGCUCGGAAUUACUGGGCGUAAAGGGAGCGUAGGCGGACAUUUAAGUCAGGGGUGAAAUCCCGGGGCUCAACCUCGGAAUUGCCUUUGAUACUGGGUGUCUUGAGUGUGAGAGAGGUAUGUGGAACUCCGAGUGUAGAGGUGAAAUUCGUAGAUAUUCGGAAGAACACCAGUGGCGAAGGCGACAUACUGGCUCAUUACUGACGCUGAGGCUCGAAAGCGUGGGGAGCAAACAGGAUUAGAUACCCUGGUAGUCCACGCCGUAAACGAUGAUUGCUAGUUGUCGGGAUGCAUGCAUUUCGGUGACGCAGCUAACGCAUUAAGCAAUCCGCCUGGGGAGUACGGUCGCAAGAUUAAAACUCAAAUGAAUUGACGGGGUCAUAGCUGUUUCCUG